CAACUAUCCUGCAGGAAAACCCAUUAAGUCUGGUGCUCCUUAUGGCAGGCCUGCCUGCAACUCAUCUUUGAUGGGUUAUGUGUGAACUCCAUCAAUUGCAGGUUCUGGAUCCUUGCAGAACUUCCCACUCUGGUGUUACUGAGGGAUGGAAGACUGGAGGAAAAAGAGAGGCUGCAUCCCGCCGAUGUAACCAUGCAACUGCUGGUGCCACAAAGUAGGCCCUAUAAGGACUAAGUUUUGCUCUUGUUGUUCAGGCUAGAGUGCAAUGGCGCAAUCUUGGCUCACUGCAACCUCUGCCUCCAGGGUUCAGGCGAUUCUCCUGCCUCAGCCUCCCGAGUAGCUGGGAUUGCAGGCACCUGCCACCACACCCAGCUAAUUUUUGUAUAUUUAGUAGAGACAGGGUUUCAUCAUGUUGACCAGGCUGGUCUUGAACUUCUGACCUCACGUGAUCCACCCACCUCGGCUUUCCAAAGUGCUGGAAUUACAGCUCCUUAGGGCCAGAUCUGAAAGACUUUAAGUUGUUGCAAUUUCUCUGGAGUCUGCUCUAUCACAAAGAAUUCUGCAAAAAUCACAUUUCCUGCCUUUGUGGACCAAACCAAUGUAUUUCUUAAAUGUAUUUGAUAUCUCAUGCCUCCCUAAAAGAAUAAAACCAAGCUGCACCCUGACCACCUUGGGUACAUGUUCUUAAGACCUCCUGAAGGCUGUG
rnacentral:lncRNA from 1 species